UGGGGAAUAUUGGACAAUGGGGGGAACCCUGAUCCAGCCAUGCCGCGUGUGUGAAGAAGGCCUUAUGGUUGUAAAGCACUUUAAGCGAGGAGGAGGGUACUGGUAAUAAUACUACCAGGUACUGGACGUUACUCGCAGAAUAAGCACCGGCUAACUCUGUGCCAGCAGCCGCGGUAAUACAGAGGGUGCGAGCGUUAAUCGGAUUUACUGGGCGUAAAGCGUGCGUAGGCGGCUAAUUGAGUCGGAUGUGAAAUCCCCGAGCUUAACUUGGGAAUUGCAUUCGAUACUGGUUAGCUAGAGUGUGGGAGAGGAUGGUAGAAUUCCAGGUGUAGCGGUGAAAUGCGUAGAGAUCUGGAGGAAUACCGAUGGCGAAGGCAGCCAUCUGGCCUAACACUGACGCUGAGGUACGAAAGCAUGGGGAGCAAACAGG
rnacentral:rRNA from 1 species